UACGUAGGGGGCAAGCGUUGUCCGGAAUUAUUGGGCGUAAAGCGCGUGUAGGCGGCUUUGCAAGUCGGGUGUGAAAGCCCUCAGCUCAACUGAGGAAGUGCGCCCGAAACUGCAGAGCUUGAGUGCCGGAGAGGGUGGCGGAAUUCCCCAAGUAGAGGUGAAAUUCGUAGAUAUGGGGAGGAACACCGGUGGCGAAGGCGGCCACCUGGACGGUAACUGACGCUGAGACGCGAAAGCGUGGGUAGCAAACAGG
rnacentral:rRNA from 1 species